rnacentral:tRNA from 1 species
GCGGACGUGGCGGAAUGGCAGACGCGCUGGACUUAGAAUCCAGUGGGCAACCGUGCAAGUUCAAAUCUUGUCGUCCGCACCA